rnacentral:rRNA from 1 species
GACGAACGCUGGCGGCGCGCUUAACACAUGCAAGUCGAACGGAAAGGCCUGCUUUCCCUUGUGGAUUGCGGGUACUCGAGUGGCGAACGGGUGAGUAACACGUGAGUGAUCUGCCCCCAACUUGGGUAUAAGCCUGGGAAGCUGGGUCUAAUUCCCGAUAGGACUGCAGGGUGGUGCCUGUGGUGGAAAACGAUUUUCUAGUGGUUGGGGAUGAGCUCGUGGCCUAUCAGCUUGUUGGUGGGGUAAUGGCCUACCAAGGCGGCGACGGGUAGCCGGCCUGGGAGGCUGGACGGCCACAUGGGGGCUGGGGUACGGCCCAGAGUGCUACGGGAGGCAGCAGUGGGGAAUAUUGCACAAUGGGCGGAAGCCUGAUGCAGCGACGCCGCGUGGGGGAUGACGGCCUUCGGGUUGUAAACUCCUUUCGACCGCGAGGAAGCCACCUGGUUGGAAGGGUGGUGACGGUAGUGGUAGAAGAAGCACCGGCUAACUACGUG